rnacentral:lncRNA from 1 species
GUCUAACCUUCCAAAAGGAGCGUCUAGCCUCACAAGGAGCGUCUAGCCUCACAAAGGGAGCGACUAGCCAUGAUGAGGAGCGUCUAGGCCAAGGCUACAUGAGGAGCAUCUAUGAAGAGUCCUAGACCGUCUAGCUUCACACACACAAGGGCCAAAGCUACGGUUUGGGAGAGAAGAGGCUUUGUUGCAUAAAAGGCCCAUUAGGGGUACUUAGUAAGAUAGGUAGUGUAGAAA